rnacentral:rRNA from 1 species
GAUGAACGCUGGCGGCGUGCCUAAUACAUGCAAGUCGAACGCAUAGCGAAAGGUGCUUGCACCUUUCAAGUGAGUGGCGAACGGGUGAGUAACACGUGGACAACCUGCCUCAAGGCUGGGGAUAACAUUUGGAAACAGAUGCUAAUACCGAAUAAAACUUAGUGUCGCAUGACACAAAGUUAAAAGGCGCUUCGGCGUCACCUAGAGAUGGAUCCGCGGUGCAUUAGUUAGUUGGUGGGGUAAAGGCCUACCAAGACAAUGAUGCAUAGCCGAGUUGAGAGACUGAUCGGCCACAUUGGGACUGAGACACGGCCCAAACUCCUACGGGAGGCUGCAGUAGGGGAUCUUCCACAAUGGGCGAAAGCCUGAUGGAGCAACGCCGCGUGUGUGAUGAAGGCUUUCGGGUCGUAAAGCACUGUUGUAUGGGAAGAACAGCUAGAAUAGGAAAUGAUUUUAGUUUGACGGUACCAUACCAGAAAGGGACGGCUAAAUACGUG